rnacentral:rRNA from 1 species
UGGGGAAUAUUGGACAAUGGGCGAAAGCCUGAUCCAGCAAUGCCGCGUGGGUGAAGAAGGUCUUCGGAUUGUAAAGCCCUUUCGGCGGGGACGAUGAUGACGGUACCCGCAGAAGAAGCCCCGGCUAACUUCGUGCCAGCAGCCGCGGUAAUACGAAGGGGGCUAGCGUUGCUCGGAAUGACUGGGCGUAAAGGGCGCGUAGGCGGCUCAUAGAGUCGGGCGUGAAAUUCCUGGGCUUAACCUGGGGGCUGCGUUCGAUACCUAUGGACUGGAGUGAGGAAGAGGGUCGUGGAAUUCCCAGUGUAGAGGUGAAAUUCGUAGAUAUUGGGAAGAACACCAGUGGCGUAGGCGGCGACCUGGUCCUUUACUGACGCUGAGGCGCGAAAGCGUGGGGAGCAAACAGGAUUAGAUACCCCCGUAGUCC